rnacentral:ncRNA from 1 species
GGCCUGAGAGAUGGUGGUUUACCCUAUGGCGAAUGUUAGAAGUUCAAGUCUGCUUAUCUCCAGCCCGUGAUCCUAGACAAUACAAUGGUAUAUGAUAGCACACAAUUAUUCAAAUCUGGCAAUUUGAUUUAUGAUUUAUCAUUCAUGGGAGUUGAUAAGAUCUUUCCAUUUAGUAGCACCUUAGGAUGGUAUAGCCUUUAAUGACGAGGUUCAAACGAGGAAGGUAUUAUGGUGGAUACCUAGGUACCCAAAGAUGAGGAAGGGCAUGGUAAGCGAUGAAAUUCUUUGGGGAGUUGAAAAUGAGCAUAGAUCCAGAGAUUCUCGAAUAGGUUAACCUUUUUAACUACUGCUUAAUCCAUAGGCAGGCAAGAGACAACUUGGAAAACUAAAACAUAUUAGUAGCCAGAGAAAUAGAAAGAAAAAUCAAUUCCCAUAGUAGCGACGAGCAAAAUGGGAGUAGCCUAAACCGUGAAAACGGGGUUGUGGGAGAGCACAAUAUAGGCUCUGUGCUGCUAGGUGAAGCAGUUGAGUCCUGCACCCUAGAUGGUGAGAGUCCAGUAGCCAAAAGCAUCAUUGGGUUACGCUCUAACCUGAGUAGCAUGGGGCACAUGGAAUCCCAUGUGAAUCAGCAAGGACCACCUUGCAAGGCUAAAUACUCCUAGGUGACCAAUAGCGAAGUAGUACCGUGAGGGAAAGGUGAAAAGAACCCCCAUCGGGGAGUGAAAUAAAACAUGAAACUGUAAGCUCCCAAGGAUUGGGAGGAAAAUGAUACCUCUGACCAUGUGCCUAUUGAAUAAUGAGUCGAUGACUUAUAGGCAGCAGCUUGGUUAAGGGAACCCACAGGAGUCGUAGUGAGAGCGAGUCUUCAUGGGGCAAUUGUCACUGCUUAUGGACCCAAACCUGGGUGAUCUAUCCAUGAACAGGAUGAAGCUUGGGUGAAACUAAGUGGAGGUCUGAACCGAAUGAUGUUGAAAAAUUAGCAGAUGAGUUGUGGUUAGGGGUGAAAUGUGUUGAGGCGCAGUAGUUGACUGGACCAUCUAGGUGUAAAGCAUUGUUUCGGUACGGGCCGCGAGAGCGGUACCAAAUCGAGGCAAACUCUGAAUACUAGAUUGCCCCAAUAAAAGGGGUAAAGGUCAGCCAGUGAGACGAUGGGGGAUAAGAUUCAUCAUCGAGAGGGAAACAUCCCAGAUCAUCAGCUAAGGCCCCUAAAUGACCACUCAGUGAUGAAGGAAGUACGAGUGCAAAGAUAGCUAGGAGGUUUUCCUAGAAGCAUCCAACCUUCAAAGAGUGCGUAACAGCUCACUGAUCGAGCGCUCUUGUAGUGAAGAUGAAUGGGACUAAGAGAACUGCCAAAGCUGUGGGAUGUAAAAAUACAUCAGUAGGGGAGCGUUCCGCCUCAGAGGGAAGCACCGGCACAAGCGUGUGUGGAUGAAGCGGAAGCGAGAAUGUUGGCUUGAGUAACGCAAACAUUGGUGAGAAUCCAAUGCCCCAAAAACCUAAGGGUUCCUCCGUAAGGUUUGUCCACAGAGGGUGAUUCAGGGCCUAACAUCAGGCCAAAAGGCAUAGUCGAUGGACAAUAGGUUAAUAUUCUUGUACUACCCCUUCUUGAUCCCGAGGGACGGAGGAGGCUGGGUUAGCCAAAAGAUGGUUAUCGGUUCAAGGACUCAAGGUGACCCUCUAUACAUUGAUUCAAAUGUAAAAGAAGAAUCAAAUAUAGGUGUGUACAA